rnacentral:tRNA from 1 species
UGGCUCAGUUGGUAGAGUACGUGACUCUUGAUCUUGGGAUCGUGAGUUCAAGUCCCAC